rnacentral:tRNA from 1 species
GCCUUCGUGGUUUAAUGGGCAGCGUACUUGACGAAUAUUCGAGAGGUCCGAGGUUCGAGUCCCGGCGAGGGCA